UACAGAGGUCCCAAGCGUUGUUCGGAUUCAUUGGGCGUAAAGGGUGCGUAGGCGGCGCGGUAAGUCGGGUGUGAAAUCUCGGAGCUUAACUCCGAAACUGCAUUCGAUACUGCCGUGCUUGAGGACUGGAGAGGAGACUGGAAUUCACGGUGUAGCAGUGAAAUGCGUAGAUAUCGUGAGGAAGACCAGUGGCGAAGGCGGGUCUCUGGACAGUUCCUGACGCUGAGGCGCGAAGGCCAGGGGAGCAAACGGG
rnacentral:rRNA from 1 species